rnacentral:hammerhead_ribozyme from 1 species
GCACUGCUGACGAGUCUCAAACAGGACGAAACAGAUCUGUCCAGUGU